rnacentral:rRNA from 1 species
UCCCUACGGGAGGCAGCAGUAGGGAAUCUUCCGCAAUGGGCGAAAGCCUGACGGAGCGACGCCGCGUGAGCGAAGAAGGCCUUCGGGUCGUAAAGCUCUGUUGUGAGGGACGAAGGAGCGCCGUUCGAAGAGGGCGGCGCGGUGACGGUACCUCACGAGAAAGCCCCGGCUAACUACGUGCCAGCAGCCGCGGUAAUAAA